UACGUAGGGUGCAAGCGUUUAAUCGGAAUUACUGGGCGUAAAGCGUGCGCAGGCGGUUGUGCAAGACAGAUGUGAAAUCCCCGGGCUCAACCUGGGAAUUGCAUUUGUGACUGCACGGCUAGAGUGUGUCAGAGGGGGGUAGAAUUCCACGUGUAGCAGUUGAAAUGCGUAGAGAUGUGGAGGAAUACCGAUGGCGAAGGCAGCCCCCUGGGAUAACACUGACGCUCAUGCACGAAAGCGUGGGGAGCAAACAGG
rnacentral:rRNA from 1 species